AGAGCGCAUGCAAAGGCCACAGGGUAAAGUCUCUGGGACUUCCUGAAGGACUGGACACGAGGCGUGAAAAGCACUGAGGAAUCAAGGAUGACUUGGAGGUUUCCGGCCUGAGCAACCAGAAGGCUCAAGUUGCCAUGACGGGAGGCUGAAAGAGCAAGUGGAUCUAGGACGUGUCGAGUCUGAGACGUCUGAUCGACAUGAAAGAGGUGACAUUG
rnacentral:lncRNA from 10 species